rnacentral:rRNA from 1 species
CAGUAGCCGCGGGAAUACGAGGGGGGCAAGCGUUGUUCGGAAUUAUUGGGCGUAAAGGGUGCGUAGGCGGUUUGGCAAGUUUGGUGUGAAAUCUUCGGGCUCAACUCAAAGUCUGCAUCGAAAACUGCCGGGCUUGAGUAUGGGAGAGGUGAGUGGAAUUUCCGGUGUAGCGGUGAAAUGCGUAGAUAUCGGAAGGAACACCUGUGGCGAAAGCGGCUCACUGGACCAUAACUGACGCUGAUGCACGAAAGCUAGGGGAGCAAACAGGAUUAGAUACCCGCGUAGUCCCUGUCUCUUAUCC